AUUGAACGCUGGCGGCAUGCCUUACACAUGCAAGUCGAACGGCAGCACGGGAGCAAUCCUGGUGGCGAGUGGCGAACGGGUGAGUAAAGUAUCGGAACGUGCCCAGUCGUGGGGGAUAACGUAGCGAAAGUUACGCUAAUACCGCAUACGAUCUAUGGAUGAAAGCGGGGGAUCGCAAGACCUCGCGCGAUUGGAGCGGCCGAUAUCAGAUUAGGUAGUUGGUGGGGUAAAGGCUCACCAAGCCGACGAUCUGUAGCUGGUCUGAGAGGACGCCCAGCCACACUGGGAGUGAGACACGGCCCAGACUCCUACGGGAGGCAGCAGUGGGGAAUUUUGGACAAUGGGCGAAAGCCUGAUCCAGCCAUGCCGCGUGCAGGAUGAAGGCCUUCGGGUUGUAAACUGCUUUUGUACGGAACGAAAAGGUUUGGCCUAAUAAGCUGAGCUCAUGACGGUACCGUAAGAAUAAGCACCGGCUAACUACGUGCCAGCCGCCGCAGUAA
rnacentral:rRNA from 1 species